rnacentral:rRNA from 1 species
GUCCACGCCGUAAACGAUGGAUACUAGCUGUUCGGAGCAAUCUGAGUGGCUAAGCGAAAGUGAUAAGUAUCCCACCUGGGGAGUACGUUCGCAAGAAUGAAACUCAAAGGAAUUGACGGGGGCCCGCACAAGCGGUGGAGCAUGUGGUUUAAUUCGAUGAUACGCGAGGAACCUUACCAAGGCUUAAAUGUAGAUUUACCGGACUGGAAACAGUUUUUUCGCAAGACAAUUUACAAGGUGCUGCAUGGUUGUCGU